rnacentral:rRNA from 1 species
GGCUGACUUCGGUCGGUCUGAAAGCCAGGCUAUGUUUACACACGCUUCAGUUUAAGAAUGUCAUUUGCGGAUAACGCAUUAUAUACAACUUUCAGCAACGGAUCUCUUGGCUCUCGCAUCGAUGAAGAACGCAGCGAAAUGCGAUAAGUAAUGUGAAUUGCAGAAUUCAGUGAAUCAUCGAAUCUUUGAACGCACCUUGCGCUCCUUGGUAUUCCGAGGAGCAUGCCUGUUUGAGUGUCAUGGAAUUCUCAACCUCUCUCACUUUUGUGGCAGAGGCUUGGACUUGGAGGUCGUGUCGGCUUGCGAAAGUCGACUCCUCUGAAAUGCAUUAGUGCGAGUCUUACGGAUCGCUUCGGUGUGAUAAUUGUCUACGCCGUGGUGUGAAGUAUCUCUGUGUUCGCGCUUCUAACCGUCCGCGAGGACAACUUUUAACAUCUGACCUCAAAUCAGGUAGGACUACCCGCUGAACUUAAGCAUAUCAAUA